GUAGGAUGUUGCCUUCUUAUCAGUCUUUUAGUUCUUCUUCAGGGGCACAGUUGUUAGCAAGGCAUGUAUUGUUUAUACAAAAGGCAUCCUGUUUCACAAGACCUUUGUGGCCUUUUUAAGGUGGCUCAAGGACAUCACUCCCAUUGCCUCCUGCCC